CCUACGGGGGGCAGCAGUGGGGAAUAUUGCUCAAUGGGGGAAACCCUGAUGCAGCGACGCCGCGUGAGUGAAGAAGUAUCUCGGUACGUAAAGCUCCAUUAGUAGGGAAGAAAAUGACGGUACCUGACUAAGAAGCCCCGUCUAACUACGUGCCAGCAGCCGCGGUAAUAUGUAGGGGGCAAGCGUUAUCCGGAUUUACUGGGUGUAAAGGGGGCGUAGACGGGAGCACAAGUCUGGAGUGAAAUCCCGGGGCUUAACCCCGGAACUGCUUUGGAAACUGGGCGGCUGGAGUGCAGGAGGGGUAAGCGGAAUGCCUAGUGUAGCGGUGAAAUGCGUAGAUAUUAGGAAGAACACCGAUGGCGAAGGCGGCUUACUGGACUGUAACUGACGUUGAGGCACGAAAGCGUGGGGAGCGAACAGGAUUAGAUACCCCAGUAGUC
rnacentral:rRNA from 1 species